UACGUAGGCAGCGAGCGUUGUUCGGAGUUACUGGGCGUAAAGGGUGUGUAGGCGGCCUUUUAAGUUUGGUGUGAAAUCUCCCGGCUCAACUGGGAGGGAGCGCCGAAUACUGAAGGGCUUGGAGUGCGGGAGAGGAGAGUGGAAUUCCUGGUGUAGCGGUGAAAUGCGUAGAUAUCAGGAGGAACACCGGUGGUGUAGACGGCUCUCUGGACCGCGACUGACGCUGAGACACGAAAGCGUGGGUA
rnacentral:rRNA from 1 species